UGGCUCUCGCAUCGAUGAAGAACGCAGCGAAAUGCGAUAAGUAAUGUGAAUUGCAGAAUUCAGUGAAUCAUCGAAUCUUUGAACGCAUCUUGCGCUCCUUGGCAUUCCAUGGAGCAUGCCUGUUUGAGUGUCACGUAGAACCUCACCCCUGUGGCAUUAACGUGUCACCUGUGGUGGAAUUGGACCGUGCCGUUGUUGGCUCGUCCUCAAAUGCAUUAGCUUGCGCUAGUUAGAGUGCUCGGAUCGGUGUGAUAAUUAUCGGCGCCGUUUCCUCAGGCCUCUUCUUUCCGUGCGCGGCUUCCAACAGUCCCUCGCGGACAAAUGACCUUUCAAAGCUUUGGCCUCAAAUCAGGUAGGACUACCCGCUGA
rnacentral:misc_RNA from 1 species